rnacentral:rRNA from 1 species
UACGGGGGGAGCAAGCGUUGUUCGGAUUUACUGGGCGUAAAGGGCGCGUAGGCGGCCACCGCAAGUCGACUGUGAAAUCUCCGGGCUUAACCCGGAAAGGUCAGCCGAUACUGCGGGGCUAGAGUGCAGAAGGGGCAACUGGAAUUCUCGGUGUAGCGGUGAAAUGCGUAGAUAUUGGGAGGAACACCAGUGGCGAAGGCGGCUACCUGGACCGGUUCUGACGCUGAUGCGCGAAAGCGUGGGUAGCAAACAGG